ACGUAGGGGGCGAGCGUUGUCCGGAUUUAUUGGGCGUAAAGGGCGUGUAGGCGGUCUGCUAAGUCAGAGGUGAAAAUCCAGGGCUCAACCCUGGAACUGCCUCUGAAACUGGUGGACUUGAGUGCUCUAGAGGGCAGUGGAAUUCCCGGUGUAGCAGUGAAAUGCGUAGAGAUCGGGAGGAACACCAGUGGCGAAGGCGGCAUCCUGGACCGGCAUUGACGCUGAGGAGCGAAAGCCAGGGGAGCAAACGGGA
rnacentral:rRNA from 1 species